AGAUUGAUCCGAACCGGAGAUAACGCGACACGUUUUCUCUUUGGUUUCUGCGUUUUCGCCUGGGCCAGCCUCAUCCUCGUCUCGUGCGGCAAUGGCGGAAACGUCUCGAUUGGCGGGGACGAAGCGCGGUCGCGGCGACGAAGAGAUCGGCGCCGACUCCAACUCCAACGCCGAUUCCGAUCCUCGACAAGCCCUAGGACUAGAGAAUAAUCUUACAUUUAGCGAUACCUUGGUAGCUCUUCAAAUGAUGCGCUCACAAUUUCCAAGUGUAGAAAAGGUUACAAUACAACCUUUCAUCUUGCAGUCGCAAUUGUACAGUAGUGUGAAGGACAGGACCCAAGUUGAUAGAGACUUAGAGUCAUUGAAGAAGGAAAAAGUUUUGCGUGUAUUUAAACUUAGUACUGGACAAGAUGACCAUGCAAUAAUGUUCAUGGAAGAUUAUCUAAAACAGAUGGCAAGUUCUGUGAAGAGGUUUGAGAAGGAAAAGCAACAUGAUCUUGAAGUUUUUGAGUGGUUUAAGACGUAUGUUAUGGAGUCCAAACUGGAUGUUUGCAUAGCGCAUCAGGAGUUGUGCUCAUUGUUAUCACAUGGAGGUGAAGUGACAGACAGGCAUGUCACUUUGUUAAUUAGUGCUGGUCUGCUUACUCGUCAACUGAUUGAUCCAAAUAUGUAUUGGUUUGCAAUUCCAAAUAUUGGGAGCAUACUGAAGGGCCUUUCACAGGGAAGGAAAGAGCUUCUCUCGUUGUUAAACCGUAGGAAAUACAAGGAAAUGCCACUUGCUCCUUUAGAGAAGAAGCGACUACGAUUAUCACCACUUGACAUGCGGUUCCACCUUCGGGAUCUAAUCGGUUCUGGUCAUCUAAAAUCCCUUCAAACCCCUGCCGGGAUAAUCGUCCGAGUAGCCAAAGACUGAACACGGGUACUUAUUUUAAAUUGAUCCUACAUGUUAAUUGAUAAUGUUACUGCCUAUUUUUAUCCACUUUAUGUCCCGGUAUGCAUAUGCAGGCUCACAUCCUUUGAGAUUAUAGAAUGCCUGAAUUUUAAAGCAAUUUCGACAAACCCAGAUGGUUUGUUGAAGUGAGAGGGAAAAGGCCAGAAACAAGAUAAACUGCAACAAAGCAUUUAGGACGAGGUGUUGGAUGAUGUACCCCGACCGUUUGAUCGUGUUGAUUCGCGAAUUUGACUUUGAGCAUGGAGAGGAAAUUAAUUAUAAAAAUGGUUGGUAUACCUUGCACGCAAUCUUCUUUUUUUUUUUUUUUUUUUGUUGAGAGAUAGGUAGCAUGUCAUCCGCUUUAUUUAUUUCAUUUAAUAAACUUAGCUAAAAAUGUGAAUCAACUAAAAUUCGAACUUGUGACCUCGGGUAUCAGCCAUCAAGUCCUUUGUCACUUGCGCUAGAGACGGUCGGUCGCAAUCAUGUAAUUCUAGUUAUUCUUUCUUCUGUUUUGGUGUCUCUUGAUAUUUAUUUGAUUGGGAUUGGACGGAAGAGGGUCUCAAUUUCUAAAUUUAAUUGCUAAAUAUGCUUUGUUUUUUUC